rnacentral:rRNA from 1 species
GGGUUGUGAGGUUAAGCGACUAAGCGUACACGGUGGAUGCCCUGGCAGUCAGAGGCGAUGAAGGGCGUGCUAAUCUGCGAUAAGCGCCGGUAAGGUGAUAUGAACCGUUAUAACCGGCGAUACCCGAAUGGGGAAACCCAGUGUGAUUCGUCACACUAUCAUUAACUGAAUCCAUAGGUUAAUGAGGCGAACCGGGGGAACUGAAACAUCUAAGUACCCCGAGGAAAAGAAAUCAACCGAGAUUCCCCCAGUAGCGGCGAGCGAACGGGGAGGAGCCCAGAGCCUGAAUCAGCAUGUGUGUUAGUGGAAGCGUCUGGAAAGGCGCGCGAUACAGGGUGACAGCCCCGUACACAAAAGCGCAUGUGCUGUGAGCUCGAUGAGUAGGGCGGGACACGUGGUAUCCUGUCUGAAUAUGGGGGGACCAUCCUCCAAGGCUAAAUACUCCUGACUGACCGAUAGUGAACCAGUACCGUGAGGGAAAGGCGAAAAGAACCCCGGCGAGGGGAGUGAAAAAGAACCUGAAACCGUGUACGUACAAGCAGUGGGAGCCCCACCACUAAGCCAGUGGUGAACUCCACAUACGCAUCCUUUGCUGAGGAUACGGUUAACGGAGCGAAAGCGACGUUCAACCUCAAAAGAAGCAGAGGGGGCUUAGUGGUGGGGUGACUGCGUACCUUUUGUAUAAUGGGUCAGCGACUUAUAUUCUGUAGCAAGGUUAACCGUAUAGGGGAGCCGGAGGGAAACCGAGUCUUAAUUGGGCGUUAAGUUGCAGGGUAUAGACCCGAAACCCGGUGAUCUAGCCAUGGGCAGGUUGAAGGUUGGGUAACACUAACUGGAGGACCGAACCGACUAAUGUUGAAAAAUUAGCGGAUGACCUGUGGCUGGGGGUGAAAGGCCAAUCAAACCGGGAGAUAGCUGGUUCUCCCCGAAAGCUAUUUAGGUAGCGCCUCGUGAAUUCAUCUCCGGGGGUAGAGCACUGUUUCGGCUAGGGGGCCAUCCCGGCUUACCAACCCGAUGCAAACUGCGAAUACCGGAGAAUGUUAUCACGGGAGACACACGGCGGGUGCUAACGUCCGUCGUGAAGAGGGAAACAACCCAGACCGCCAGCUAAGGUCCCAAAGUCAUGGUUAAGUGGGAAACGAUGUGGGAAGGCCCAGACAGCCAGGAUGUUGGCUUAGAAGCAGCCAUCAUUUAAAGAAAGCGUAAUAGCUCACUGGUCGAGUCGGCCUGCGCGGAAGAUGUAACGGGGCUAAACCAUGCACCGAAGCUGCGGCAGCGACACUGUGUGUUGUUGGGUAGGGGAGCGUUCUGUAAGCCUGUGAAGGUGGCCUGUGAGGGUUGCUGGAGGUAUCAGAAGUGCGAAUGCUGACAUAAGUAACGAUAAAGCGGGUGAAAAGCCCGCUCGCCGGAAGACCAAGGGUUCCUGUCCAACGUUAAUCGGGGCAGGGUGAGUCGACCCCUAAGGCGAGGCCGAAAGGCGUAGUCGAUGGGAAACGGGUUAAUAUUCCCGUACUUGGUGUUACUGCGAAGGGGGGACGGAGAAGGCUAUGUUGGCCGGGCGACGGUUGUCCCGGUUUAAGCGUGUAGGUGUGUGUUCCAGGUAAAUCCGGUUCACUUUAACACUGAGGCGUGACGACGAGGCACUACGGUGCUGAAGCAACAAAUGCCCUGCUUCCAGGAAAAGCCUCUAAGCAUCAGGUAACAUCAAAUCGUACCCCAAACCGACACAGGUGGUCAGGUAGAGAAUACCAAGGCGCUUGAGAGAACUCGGGUGAAGGAACUAGGCAAAAUGGUGCCGUAACUUCGGGAGAAGGCACGCUGACACGUAGGUGAAGUGAUUUACUCAUGGAGCUGAAGUCAGUCGAAGAUACCAGCUGGCUGCAACUGUUUAUUAAAAACACAGCACUGUGCAAACACGAAAGUGGACGUAUACGGUGUGACGCCUGCCCGGUGCCGGAAGGUUAAUUGAUGGGGUCAGCGCAAGCGAAGCUCCUGAUCGAAGCCCCGGUAAACGGCGGCCGUAACUAUAACGGUCCUAAGGUAGCGAAAUUCCUUGUCGGGUAAGUUCCGACCUGCACGAAUGGCGUAAUGAUGGCCAGGCUGUCUCCACCCGAGACUCAGUGAAAUUGAACUCGCUGUGAAGAUGCAGUGUACCCGCGGCAAGACGGAAAGACCCCGUGAACCUUUACUAUAGCUUGACACUGAACAUUGAGCCUUGAUGUGUAGGAUAGGUGGGAGGCUUUGAAGUGUGGACGCCAGUCUGCAUGGAGCCGACCUUGAAAUACCACCCUUUAAUGUUUGAUGUUCUAACGUGGACCCGUAAUCCGGGUUGCGGACAGUGUCUGGUGGGUAGUUUGACUGGGGCGGUCUCCUCCUAAAGAGUAACGGAGGAGCACGAAGGUUGGCUAAUCCUGGUCGGACAUCAGGAGGUUAGUGCAAUGGCAUAAGCCAGCUUGACUGCGAGCGUGACGGCGCGAGCAGGUGCGAAAGCAGGUCAUAGUGAUCCGGUGGUUCUGAAUGGAAGGGCCAUCGCUCAACGGAUAAAAGGUACUCCGGGGAUAACAGGCUGAUACCGCCCAAGAGUUCAUAUCGACGGCGGUGUUUGGCACCUCGAUGUCGGCUCAUCACAUCCUGGGGCUGAAGUAGGUCCCAAGGGUAUGGCUGUUCGCCAUUUAAAGUGGUACGCGAGCUGGGUUUAGAACGUCGUGAGACAGUUCGGUCCCUAUCUGCCGUGGGCGCUGGAGAACUGAGGGGGGCUGCUCCUAGUACGAGAGGACCGGAGUGGACGCAUCACUGGUGUUCGGGUUGUCAUGCCAAUGGCACUGCCCGGUAGCUAAAUGCGGAAGAGAUAAGUGCUGAAAGCAUCUAAGCACGAAACUUGCCCCGAGAUGAGUUCUCCCUGAGACUUAGAGUCUCCUGAAGGAACGUUGAAGACGACGACGUUGAUAGGCCGGGUGUGUAAGCGCAGCGAUGCGUUGAGCUAACCGGUACUAAUGAACCGUGAGGCUUAACCUUACAACGCCGAAG